AGUCCGGGAUGGAUGGGCGUUCUGGAACUGUCUGUAUCUUGGAGGCAGCAUUCCCUAGCUGCCCAAGAAUGGCCAGCAUCUUUGGUGGAAGGGCCAACGUUCUGUGCACUAUGGCGCCUCCCAGCUGCCCAGGGAGGACCCAGCACUUCUGGUAUGGCCUCCCUGCUCAUCCACCUUUGGGCUUCACUUAGCUCUGGGCUGCCCCUCCAAGAAACUGUAGCGUUACCCAAAAGCCGGACCCUGCCAGGAAAGGCUCCUGGAUUCUGGGCAGACCUGGGCUGUGAAUUUUCUAUCAUCAAGAGCAGAAAAGAGGAAAAACAGAAUAAAAAUUCUUGGAGAUAACUUCUGAAAUAAUUAAAAGACCAGCUGGUUGAAAAAGAUUUGCCUGAAAUUCCAAGCCUGAAUGGAGCAGGGAGCUAACUUGAAGGAUGCUAUGGCUUUCUUCACUUUGAUAAGAACACCCAAACCACCAAACAACCUUAAAGGUCUAACAAACAGGAUACUGGAAGGAAUAUCACACCUGAGCAUUGAGGAUCUUUGCAAUUGAGAGACGAUCUUUUUGGUUAAGGGAAGUCCUCCAAGCUCUGCACAUACUUCUUUCAUCUUUUCUUUUCCUAAGAUUCACCUCAUAACCUUAAAACAUAGCCCCUUCUGAAGAUGUCUGAUGGGAGGAGAGAAUCCCCCAUACCCUCAAAAAUCUAGCAAUCUGAAACCACAGGUAGGUCUGCAACCCCUCCAGACUGGGGUCAUUCCAUAGCUGUAAUGCUAUCUCACCACCAUGGGUGAUUUCUUACCCCCUUCCAAAUGCCCCCCCCCCCAAUACUAUCUGUAACAUCCCUGAAUAAAUACUUCCAGGUCUUCAGAUGCAAGGGCUGGAGCAAGAACCAGAAUUUGCUCUCCCACCACAAAUUCACUCUCCUGCAGCACUUAGGGAGACCAUUGGUGGUUUCUAUGAGAAUUCCCUACUUAAAGAUUUUCUGGGUUGCAAGAAUGUAAGAGCUCCCCCCCCAACAAAAAAAUAGCUUUUAUUGGGAUGCCCCAGUCCAAGAACAUCAAAUGAAGUUCCUUUCUAUCUUAACUCCUGAUUCAGACAUGUUCCUGGGGAGGCUGGGUCUGUUUUUUGGUUUAAGAUUCUUCCAACUGUUCUAAUCCAUUGGGAGGAUAGUAGUCACAUUGAGAGAGACAAAAGUAAAGGAUUAUAUAAAAUAUAUACUGUGGGGGUGGGACAAGAAGUCAAGGGAUUUGGUUCACAUCAAGAUAGAAUUUACAUUUAAUAUUCUAAGUCUUACCUAGAACCUUAUCUAGAAACUAGUAUACUUUUGAACUCAAUGUCUUUCCUCCUACUUAGACAAAAGGGAGAUAUUUGUGUGGGGAAAAGCACAAGAACAAGAGAGACAGACCAUGUGGCCAGGACAAGGAAGUUAUACAGCUAGUCUUUGGUUUUAUGAUCUAUCCUAAGAGUUCACACCUGCCUAAUUAAAACAAAACAAAUACAAGGAGUCUACACUUUGCUGAAGAAUUUACACCUUGUCAUAUAUAUUUACUAUUUAUCCUUAGGUUGAAAAUUCUUUAAAUGUAAGAACUUUGAGAGAGGUGUGUUUACUUACUUUCCAGAAUCACAAAAUGGCUGAGGAAUUUCUUUGUCCAAUUUAUGCCUAGAGAAGAAGCCCAACACUACUCUCCCUUCCAAGAGUUCCUCUAGACUAACCCCAGUGAGGGAGAACCCAAAGUCUACUAAUUUCCAACUCUAAUUCCGGUAUUCUAAUUGAUCCCCUUACAUCCAUUUUCUUUAUACUACAAUUCAUUCUCCAUUUGGUUUCCAAAGUAAUUUUUCUAAACCAUAGCUCUGAACAUAUAUUCCCAUACCUAUUAAAUAAAUUCGAGAAAAGACAAGAUUUAAUAUGAAAGCAAGUUUGUUAUUUAGAGUUGGCAUUUUGCACAGUAAAAGGGGAGGUUGUUGUUGAGGGGAAUGAGAAUAAGGAAUUAGUAGGGGAAGAGUAAUGGAUUUUAGAUCAUGAUCAACACAGGGUUCAGAAUCAUUACAAUGUGGAAGAUAUUACCAAGGUAAAAGUUUGUUCAUUACUGAGUGAAAAUUUUAGAGAGAUUGAAUUAUUUCAGAACCUUGUGUAGUUGUAAGAGAAAAGGAACUUGGAGCAGAAGGAGUAGUGAAAGAGAGAUCUCUUUCUCCAAAGCACAGACUGGAAUUUGAUGAAAUAGUGCCUUCUUUCAACACCCUGACAGAAGGAGACUUGUAUGAUGGAAUGGUAUUUUCCCUUUCCCCAUAGGAGGUCCACGAGGCAAGAGAUAACUGAGAUUUGAUGGUAAAGAGCCCAUCUCUCUACUUCCUACACCCAUAGGAAGGUAGAGAUCAAGAAAGAGACAGGGGAUAGAUGGGAGAUGCCUACUUCUUCUUUUCCCACUCUUACUUGGAAGCUGGUGAUCACCCCUUCUUCCCCUUCUGAGGGCUAGAUAUCAAGCAGAAGUUAGAAACAUUAAGAUGGAAGGUGCCUACCUUUCUCUUUUCUUACCUUUCCCCCCCCUUCUUGCCCAAGGCUAAAGAUUAGACAGAGAAAAAAGCAGAAAAAUGGAAAGUGCAGCUCUCUUCUCUUUCCACUCUAACCUGGAGGUUGGAGAUUACUUCUUCUUCAUCCUAAGGCUGGCCAUUAGACAGAGGAUUAAUUAUCUAAUUCUGCUUCUUUUUUUAUCCUUCCAGUUAGGUAGUUAGAGAAAGUCUCCCUUAUUUUUCCCCUUCAAUUUCUUGUGGUUGCUAAGUGUUUUCAUUUUCUGUACUUUUCUAAAAAAACAAACAAACAAAAAACAAUAAAAAUAUUUCUUUCCCUCAUCCUCUUUAUUGUCCUUUAUUCCUUUACUUUUUGUGCUAUUAAUGGAAUUGAAACUCUGAAAGUACCUAUUUUUACCCUGUGUAUCUUUACCUCUGUUCCCUCUUAGAAGUAGCAUUUUCUCUGAAAAGAUGUCCAUCAACUGGGGAAUUGUCAGAGGUUGAUAACUUGGAGCUCAUCUAAGAUAAAGAUCUGAGUGUCCUCUGUCAAGAGGUUGAAACUCAGAGUCUGUCUGAGAACAAGCCCAAGUGCCUUCUCUAUCUCCUUCUUUAGGCCUCUCAUAGUGUCUAUUGCUGGCAAAGACAUGCUGUUGCUGACCAUUCAAUGAACCUUGGAUGGUGCUUGAAUCAUUAUUUUAACCCAAGUGCCUAUCUACAUUUCUUGGAAAUAUUCUCUCACCCUAAUUCCUGGAAUCCUUAUCUUGCACCAGGUGUCAUAACUACCAUCCUUGUUGCACUUUCCCUAGGACUGUCUCAGACCUUUACCAAGGACCUGUCUCAAAGGAAUGCUUUCAUUCUUUGUGAUCUGUACCUUUAAAAGUUGUUAGUUGCCUGCAAUAAACUGUAUUUUGCCUGCCAUCAGUAAGGUGAAAAUCCUUCUGACUCCACACUGUGUCUGUUAUCUUUUGAUUCUUAUCUUUUCCUUUGUCCUUACCUACAGGCAAAGUCCUUAUAUUUACACCUUUGUAAUUCUUCUAUUAUUUUCCUUCAUCCUUACCUAGGGAACUCUGGUCCCAGUCCUGCCCCCCCCCCUUGGGGCUAUUACAGGGAAUAGCUGAACAAGUUGUGGAAUAUGAUUGUAAUGGAUACUAUUGUGUUGUAAGAAAUGACAAACAAGACAAUCACACACACACACACACACACACAAACCCUAGAAAAACUUAUGAAAUGAUGCAAAGUGAAGUUAGCAGAAUCAGGAGAAUGUUGUACACAGUAACAACAGUGUACUAUGAUUAACUGUGAAUGAGUUGAGUAUUAUCAGCGAUGCAAGGAUCUAGGACAACUCCAAGGACUGGGAUUUGAUGGUAAAGAGUCCAUGGCUCCAGCUCAUGAUGAAAAAGGCUAUCCCUUGACACUUUCUUCACUUUAUUUCCAUCAUGGAUUUUCUCUAGUAUAAGCAAUAUGUGUCUUAUUUCUCAACAUAAUGAAUGUGGA